UACGAAGGGGGCUAGCGUUGCUCGGAAUCACUGGGCGUAAAGCGCACGUAGGCGGAUUGCUAAGUCAGGGGUGAAAUCCUGGAGCUCAACUCCAGAACUGCCUUUGAUACUGGCGAUCUCGAGUCCGGGAGAGGUGAGUGGAAUUCCUAGUGUAGAGGUGAAAUUCGUAGAUAUUAGGAAGAACACCAGUGGCGAAGGCGGCUCACUGGCCCGGUACUGACGCUGAGGCGCGAAAGCGUGGG
rnacentral:rRNA from 1 species